rnacentral:lncRNA from 1 species
CAGAGGCAAAAUACUAGUCUGAACUAAGAAGAAUUACAGGACGUCAAAAACAGACUCACCAUCAAGAGGAAGGAUACAAGCAGGCAGUGGGUCUUGAGAGGUAAAGGACCCAAAGUCUGGAGAAGUGAUGAACAUUAGCCCAAGACGACACAGCGACACACCUUGGACUCCCCUAUUUACCAUGCUGGAGCUGCUUCUGCCUGAGACCUGGAGGACAAUUUAUUAGACCUUCAGAGGGACAUGAUCAUCUGAGACUUCCUAGCACUCUUAAUGAUACAGCCACACCCACUGGCAUCUGCCUCCCUUGAGGGAGACUGCAAGAAUUCAGAAACUUAUUUUACUGGUUGCCAUGGCAAUUCUUUGCAGUGUCAGCAGAAAUACUCCACAAGACACACAAGCUAGUAGAAGCCUCCCCCAAGUCUUCAGCUCAGAAUCUCUCUCAGCCCUAGCCUCAAGCACUGUAUUGAGGAGCCUUGACUCUGAAAUGCAACAAAAUAACCACACACUCUGGGAUUCUUUGCUAUACCCUCCUCUUCAUAGGGCUCAGAAGUGAAACAUUG